UGUUCUCCCAGGCGAUGCCAGCUGGAGCCAGUGAGUGAGGAAAUCGGAUAUUCAGCUGAAUAGAUGAUCUAAGCACGCUAUUAAAGGAAUGAAACCACUUUUUGGAGUAGAAGAACAGAUUGGAAGCUAUUGUGAACACCUAAGGGAGAGACAGAGAAUCCCAAGCAGGCUCCACACUGUC